UACGGAGGGUGCGAGCGUUGUCCGGAAUCACUGGGCGUAAAGGGCGCGUAGGCGGCCUGAUAAGUAGGGGGUGAAAUCCUGCGGCUUAACCGCAGGGCUGCCUUCUAAACUGUCAGGCUGGAGCACAGUAGAGGCAGGUGGAAUUCCUGGUGUAGCGGUGAAAUGCGCAGAUAUCAGGAGGAACACCGAUGGCGAAGGCAGGUCUCUGGGCCACUACUGACGCUGAGAAGCGAAAGCAUGGGGAGCGAACAGG
rnacentral:rRNA from 1 species